GAUGAACACUGGCGGCGUGCCUAAUACAUGCAAGUCGAGCGAACAGACGAGGAGCUUGCUCCUCUGACGUUAGCGGCGGACGGGUGAGUAACACGUGGAUAACCUACCUAUAAGACUGGGAUAACUUCGGGAAACCGGAGCUAAUACCGGAUAAUAUAUUGAACCGCAUGGUUCAAUAGUGAAAGACGGUUUUGCUGUCACUUAUAGAUGGAUCCGCGCCGCAUUAGCUAGUUGGUAAGGUAACGGCUUACCAAGGCAACGAUGCGUAGCCGACCUGAGAGGGUGAUCGGCCACACUGGAACUGAGACACGGUCCAGACUCCUACGGGAGGCAGCAGUAGGGAAUCUUCCGCAAUGGGCGAAAGCUUGACGGAGCAACGCCGCGUGAGCGAUGAAGGUCUUCGGAUCGUAAAACUCUGUUAUUAGGGAAGAACAAAUGUGUAAGUAACUAUGCACGUCUUGACGGUACCUAAUCAGAAAGCCACGGCUAACUACGUG
rnacentral:rRNA from 1 species